rnacentral:snoRNA from 1 species
ACGGCACGAUGGGGACAUUUUCGGAUGAGAUCCUUUAAUCUUUCCCAUGAUUCAUGGAACUGGUCACGAUCGUGCUAUGAAAAGCUAGUGAGAACUCACCUU